rnacentral:rRNA from 1 species
AAUAGGGGCUCUAUUGAAUUUCGACCAUUCACUUUCACCAAUAAGAUACUGAGACUUCCUUCACAUUUGAAACUGCUGAAAAAAGUUUUUUCAUCACAAAGUGGUCUACGAGGACUUGUGGGAAAAAGAUGACAUUUGUUGCCUUAUUUGGCAAACAAAAAUAGAGUACGUCAUAAAAAGUAA